CCAUCUACAGACAUCUUUAUAAGGGACUAAACUCCAGCACAGGUAUCACAAUCUCACCUCUCUUCACCUGCAGGCUAGGCUUCGGAAAGGUACAAAGACAGAUCUGUAAACUUAAAAAGGUUUGUGACUUCAUAUAUCAGUCAUGCAUCUGAAACACGCCCUCAUCCUCCUUGUCGUCGCUGUCGCCGUCGCGAGCGCCUACAGAAUGCCCAGCUAUAGGUCCACAUAUCCAUACAGCUAUGGCUACGACAUUGACAUGCCAGAUAUCCCAGACUUCGAAUACCCUAUGUACAUGUUUGGACGUGGUGGUCGACGUGGUGGACGUGGAGGACGCCGGUCACAGAACAUCUACAACAGACUCGCCAGACUUGCAAGAAUGGAAGCUUACGACUUGAUCUAAGGGUUCAUCUCAUGAAGAGUGGAUUGAGGAGUCAGGCGCCCAUGGGUUUAUAGGAAAACCGAUAAAAAGAUGUUUCAUGAACACUAAUUAUUAAAACUAAAAGUACCA